GUACUCAGCAGUCUGUCUGUAUGUGUAUUCAUCAGUCUCUGUAUUCAGCAGUCUUGUGUGUGUGUAUUCAGCAGACUGUGUGUAUGUAUUCAGCAGUCUGUGUGUAUGUAUUCAGCAGUCUGUGUGUGUAUGUAUUGCAUUUGUUGGAGAUACUAAUAAAUAUAAGCUUAAUUUUAUCUAUUUAUAUCAUUAUUUAAAAUUUGUAUCAUUGAACUCUCUG